ACAACGGCCCUUUUCAGGGCCACCCACUUGGUCAUAAGAAGGGCUG
rfam:TPA: Bos taurus chromosome 23, whole genome shotgun sequence.